rnacentral:lncRNA from 1 species
GUGGCGGUUCUAGUUCUUAUAUCAAAUCAUACACACGAGAUCUCGUCAUAUUUGACUCUAAAAACGCUAACCAAGCUUCUUAUUGCUUCUUAAAGCUUUGUGGGUGUGGCUAAACUCCUAUGAGUUUUCAGUUUUGGAGCUUCUAAACGAAGAAACACUACUUUAGCUUGUGGGAUCCGGUGGCAGUUCUAGUUCUUAUACCAAAUCAUACACACGAGAUCUAGUCAUAUUUGACUCUAAGAACGCUAACCAAGCUUCUUAUUGCUUCUCAAAGCUUUGUGGGUGUGGCCAAAGUCCUAUGAGUUUUCAGUUUUGGAGCUUCUAAACAAAGAAACACUACUUUAGCUUGUAGAAU